rnacentral:lncRNA from 1 species
AAUUUUACAGUAGAGAUUUAGCCGCCGAUGACCCACUACACGUGGAUGCGCGAAAUUCCAAAGCCAGUCCACUGCGAUCAAGGUGCUGGAGGCUCUUGGGGUUGCCGCUUGCAUGCUUGAAGAUAAAUUUUGUAGCCUCCCGUUGCAACGCAUAGACAUUUGUGCUAGGACUAAUAAAGCAAGGUGCGUUUCACCAAUUUUUUCAUCCGUUCACCAUAUAAAAUUAUUUUGUUCCGUACUUAUCCGAGGUGGUACUAAAAAAAUUGAUUCAAGAUGCAUCGCGCUAAAGAGUUGCAUAUGCUUCCUGCCGAUGGCACGUCGUCUUAUGGGCCUGCCCACAUGAGCCGCCUGACCUGAGUUUCACAUAAGCAUUAACAAUAAUAUAGUACCACCUCGAUUAUUUACAUGGAAUUGUAACAAUUUAUAUACCUAGGCAAAGUGCGAAUGACAGGAAGACGCAGGGACUUCGACCCGACCCGAGAAAGAAUCGAAUCAAGAUGAUUAACCACGGUGCCAUCCGACUUGCCAGGAAGUGAGGAGUCCGGGCGGCACCACCGGCCAGACCACGGUGGAGCCAUCCGACUUCCCGUGACAGGGCUCUGCUCGUGGCCCUCUGUCGAGAACGACCGACGGACGCAGCUGCGCGGCUUUGGCCCCGCAGAACGGCGACAGUCUGGUGGCACCAUGGUUGCUCGGUGAGCUCCUGCAAGGGAACAUGGCGGGUGAGAUAAGGGAGACGGAGAGAGAAGGGAGAGGCGGCGGAGACUCUGCUGUUCACAUGCGUGGCUGCGUGCUACACAUUGCAAAGCUAUACAGUGGUGCUCUGGCAACAGAACGCCUCAACGCCAUGAGGGGGCAUCCAGGAGAUCGACCUCACCCAGAUGCAAGAGAACCAUCUUGGGAGAGAGGCCUUUGAUGCCAAGAGGGUGGAGCCUUCAAACAUGCAUCAGAUCAAAAUUUGCCAUGCACCCGAACGAACUGAUAUGGAGGAACCAGAUCCAAUGCAAAGAGGACA